CAAGGUGGUCCCACCCCUUCCCAUCCCGAACAGGACCGUGAAACGCCUUUGCGCCGAUGAUAGUUGAUUAACGUCUGUGAAAGUAGGUCAUCGUCAGGC
rnacentral:rRNA from 1 species